rnacentral:rRNA from 1 species
UACGUAGGGUGCAAGCGUUGUCCGGAAUUAUUGGGCGUAAAGAGCUCGUAGGCGGUUUGUUGCGUCGGCUGUGAAAUCCCGAGGCUCAACCUCGGGUCUGCAGUCGAUACGAGCAAACUAGAGUGUUGCAGGGGAGACUGGAAUUCCUGGUGUAGCGGUGAAAUGCGCAGAGUAUCAGGAGGAACACCGGUGGCGAAGGCGGGUCUCUGGGCAGUAACUGACGCUGAGGAGCGAAAGCGUGGGGAGCGAACAGG